UGAGAAUCUGGCUUUGGGUUCGGGACAACCAUUGGAAACGAUGGCUAAUACCGGAUGUGCCGAGAGGUGAAAGAUUAAUUGCCUUUAGAAGAGCUCGCGUCUGAUUAGCUAGUUGGUGAGGUAAGAGCUCACCAAGGCAGCGAUCAGUAGCUGGUCUGAGAGGAUGACCAGCCACACUGGGACUGAGACACGGCCCAGACUCCUACGGGAGGCAGCAGUGGGGAAUUUUCCGCAGUGGGCGAAAGCCUGACGGAGCAAGACCGCGUGAGGGAGGAAGGCUCUUGGGUUGUAAACCUCUUUUGUCAGGGAAGAACAAAAUGACGGUACCUGACGAAUCAGCAUCGGCUAACUCCGUGCCAGCAGCCGCGGUAAUACGGAGGAUGCAAGCGUUAUCCGGAAUUAUUGGGCGUAAAGCGUCCGCAGGUGGCUGAUCAAGUCUGCGGUCAAAGACCGGGGCUUAACCCUGGAAAGGCCGUGGAAACUGAUAGAGCUAGAGUACCGUAGGGGUAGAGGGAAUUCCCGGUGUAGCGGUGAAAUGCGUAGAGAUCGGGAAGAACAUCGGUGGCGAAAGCGCUCUACUGGACGGUGACUGACACUCAGGGACGAAAGCUAGGGGAGCGAAUGGGAUUAGAUACCCCAGUAGUCCUAGCCGUA
rnacentral:rRNA from 1 species